GACGAACGCUGGCGGCGUGCUUAACACAUGCAAGUCGAACGGAAAGGCCCUGCUUUUGUGGGGUGCUCGAGUGGCGAACGGGUGAGUAACACGUGAGUAACCUGCCCUUGACUUUGGGAUAACUUCAGGAAACUGGGGCUAAUACCGGAUAGGAGCUCCUGCUGCAUGGUGGGGGUUGGAAAGUUUCGGCGGUUGGGGAUGGACUCGCGGCUUAUCAGCUUGUUGGUGGGGUAGUGGCUUACCAAGGCUUUGACGGGUAGCCGGCCUGAGAGGGUGACCGGCCACAUUGGGACUGGGAUACGGCCCAGACGCCUACGGGAGGCAGCAGUGGGGAAUAUUGCACGAUGGGCGGAAGCCUGAUGCAGCAACGCCGCGUGCGGGAUGACGGCCUUCGGGUUGUAAACCGCUUGCGCCUGUGACGAAGCGUGAGUGACGGUAAUGGGUAAAGAAGCACCGGCUAACUACGUG
rnacentral:rRNA from 1 species